GAAAAUUAGAGAUUCGAAGGCGAUUAGAUACUGCCCUAGUUCUAAUCCAUAAACGAUGCCAACUAGCGAUAUGUCGAAGUUCCUUCGAUAACUCGGCGGACAGCUUCCAGGAAACCAAAGCUUUUAUGU
rnacentral:ncRNA from 1 species